UCGGGUAUGGUGUAACGGCUAACAUUGCCGCCUCUCAUUCCAGCGCGCGGCAGCUCGGGGUUCGAUUCCCCGUACCCGAA